GUUUUAUGAAGUAGUUAGUUUUCAAAGUACAUCUUUUCAUGAUAUAUUUCAUACACUGACUUUAAAUUUGUGUAUACUACAAGAAAAACUCUCCCUCAAAUUUUAGGAGAAUGCAUAAGUAAUUAUUAAAGGCUUUCUUUCUUACUUUACUCAGGAAUGCAAAUUUAUAUCCUUUACUUGUCUGGAGGUGAGUGAAACUGAAAAGCAGGUGGAGGGACUGAACUGUUACACAAUUCCAAGGGCCACCAUUAACACUGUACUCUACAUUUGUAUUCCAGGAGGCACCAUUCACACAGAAUAUAAUAUGAAUACUGCCACCUAAAUCUGUAGAACUCAAAAGAACUGUGGAGAGAAAAUAAAACUUACCAUAAACUUCUGUCAGUGAACCUAGCAGCUAAAAAAUAUUUCUUCUAAAAAUAAAUACAAGAUAGUCAACCAUAAGUAAGUAGAUUUGG
rnacentral:lncRNA from 10 species